UAAAGUCCAAAGUCUGCAAACAGAAACCACAUAGUUUAAAAUUCCAUUAUUAAAAAUCCAUUAAAUAAACCAUCCGAGAGGCUCCACCGAAUGCUAAAUCCAAGCCUUAUGUUCGAGUAUUACCUGAAAGGUUAUAACAUUAAAGGGGUCAACUUUUAAAGCAUAGUGUGGGUCUUUUAACAAAUAAAUGUAAAUAAACACAUAAUCAUCAACCAAGUAAAUAUUUCACUUUAUACACAUGAUCAUCGCGAUGUUGUUUUGUAAAACAUUUAUGCAAAUUUAUUUAAAACAUCCUACCUAUCGCCGCUACACACCACAACCGAGUUCCUCAGAACUCGUCCAUCCAAACACUCCAAUUUGUGAAUAGUGUCACAGUAAUGCAGAUAAACUACCACUUAAUAAUAUUGUGGACAAGCCACCACUUUUGCAGAUAAAUUACCAUAUCUUCCUCCUUUUACAUAUCCCACCUCAUGUAUGUGAUAUGGCCACAAAAAUCACUUUUUCAUUUUAAUCAAUUUUUCACAUUAGCAUGUGAGACAUGCUCAUUAUAUCACUUAUCACUUAAAAUCACAUAGGCAUGCUUAACAUGCUAAUCACAUAUUUACACAAUAUAGAUAUCAAUAUUUCACAUUUUAUAAAUCAUGCAAAACUCACACAUGCCGUAAUAUCACAUAACAUGAGAAUACCCAUCAUACAAAUCACAAAAACAACGAUUUAGUUUCACUUACUUGGAUAUUCCAAUUCAAUGGGUUUUUAUUCCUCUUUUAAAAAAUAUAUAGUUUUAUUGAUAAGCAUCAUUUAAUAACACUAAUAAAAUUUUAACAACAUGAAACAUAUUUUCAUUUUUUUAAUUAAUGUGGAAACCACACCUGAUUCUAGAUCCUACGUAUUACAACUCUCUAAAAUACCUACACUUGGAUCUAUCCAAUGGAUCACAUAGUUACACAAAUGAUAAUCCUUCGUUAAAGUUUACCAUGAUCAUCAUAAGAGAUAAGUUUAUUAAACGAAUCUCCCAUUUGACACUUUUUAUUAAACUUGUGAAUUAAGAAUCAUGAUUCCUUUCACGAGUUUGAUGAUUUUUUGUGUCGAUGUUGAUCGACCCUUCAAAAAGACAUCAUAACUAAAAGUUAAUAAACGAGGGAAAAAUUCACCAUAACUCUUAUGAAUAGUUGAUCAAGAGGGAAACAAUGAGGAAUGAGUGGUUCUCAUUCAACCCUUGUACUUACUCUAUCUCGAUCAAAAAGGAGAGAUCAGUGGAUCGUCUUGAUUUUGAUCUGGGAAAAUUGAAUUAUCUAAAAAAGGGGUUGAUUAAAAGUAAAUUUAUAAAACAAAGACUUAAAAUUUAAGAAACUAAGAGAAAUAAAUAGUGAAUAAUUUUAUUUAAUAAAAGAAAUUAUGUAGGUUGAAAAAUGAUGAACAAAAAGAGAGGAAACACAAUCGUCGACGGUGGUACUAUGGUGGCGACAGCGGUGGUCUGGUGAUGGAGGUAGUAGUUCUUAUCCUACUACAACAAAGCACUUAGAAGGCUAACCAACAUUCAAAAAGAUUAUGAAUUUAGGAGCAAUCCCUUAUGAGAUGCAAUGUUCUCCUUUAAUCAGAAACUGUGUGGUUAGGGACCCAAAAUUCUAGAUGAUGGACCUACCUUAGAGAGAGUAGCCAUUGAAUUCCCAAAACCAUAUCACAUCUUUUCAAAGGUAGAAUCAUGAAGUCAUUGAUGAAUUUAAAGCCUUGAUCUUCCCAGUGGACUAAUUUGCAUGUUCUUCUAGUGAAUAAACACCCUCCGUUAGCCAUUGUCACUUUCAAUUGAUAUUAUUGUUGCACGGGUAAAGAGAACUUGCCUACCAAGUUAGCAUUACUGAAAUUGUGUGUGCUACCCAAGUUCACCAAUAUAAUGGCCCACACAGAGCCAAUCCCUGUUGUAAUGCGCAUUGUGCUAUAGUCUUGUGAACCUUGAAUGGUAUGUGAGGAUAGGAUAGGUGAUAAAGGUAAAAUCUAUUUCAGGGGAGUGUCUUCUAGUUGUUCGACAUAUUCUUGGAAAUAUUCCUCUUCCCCAUCAAACUGUGGCUUUAACAAAAACUGAUACAAUUGUGAUUUACUCACUUGUAGCCCACAUGGUACUGAAUAGCACACUAGAAACACAACAUUUUCUACUUCCUCUCAACCAUUACAGUUGGUGUUAUGCCAUUGGAAAAUGCCUUAGAACCAGGACCAAUAGGUGUUGAGCUGGAAUAAGGUGAGAUGAUAGUCCUACCAGUAGUAGUAGAAUUGAAAGACACACUAAAAUGGCUAGACAUAACAGAUGGUACAGUGAAAGAUUGAGUAUAACUCCCAACAAUAGGAAAUAAAGUCCUAUUUUAAGAGUGCAUGUGAAUAGUCACCACUUAUCCAACAAUUUGAAAACCUUCAACAAAGGAUGUAGGUUUGAGCAAUUGGAGAUAUUGACCAAUCUCCACAUUCAGGUUGCUAAUGAAAAUACUAAAGGCAUAUAGCUCCGGUAGGUGCAACUAAUUCAAGAGAUUCACAAAUACAUCAUGAUACUAUUUAAAUGUCCUUUGUUGUGUUAGAGUAACCAAAUCAACCAUUGGAUCACAGAAUAAGCUAGCUUCAAAUCUCUCCUGCAAACUUCUAGCAUAACAAGGUCAAUUCAAUAUGUGAAGGCCUCCAUUUUCUUUGGGUGUAGAAAUGAUACUAGUCCAGCGCUCUCCCUCCAAGUGAAGCUUCACCGUGUGAACUUUAGCAUCAUCUAAGAUGCCCUUUACCUCAAAGAACUGCUCGAGCUUAGACCACUAAUCUCAAAAGUUAUUUUCAUCAAAUCUAGGACAAUUGAGCUAUGGAAUAUACUAGAACCAUCCAUUGAACUAGGAUGAGACUACAGAUGAACACUACUCAACUCUGAAAAAUAAUGAGUGCUUACUAUAGCAUGGACUUGACCUCUUAUGUAAACCUCUAGAGGAUUUUGAGGAGCGAAUCUAGGGGGUGCCCCCUAAAAUUCAUUUACUUUUGGCUUCUACAUUGUUGAGAGUAGGAUUGGGGUGCCCAACGUAUUGUCCAAACAAAGAGUAAAGCUUAGAACGUAAAUCGCCCUUGAAUUCGUCCUAAAACUCCUUGAAUUUGGUUUUUAGUUUGGUAUCGGCAAGUUCACCCCAGAUCUUAUAAAGCUCCCGCUACAACACACUAACCUCUUUCUACAAUCGAGUGGAAACGCCAUCGCUAGUCAUGGAGGAUCAUAAAAGGUUCGACACCUUUGAUGCAACUAGAAAAUUCAAAAGAGAAAUUUGACAGGGUAAAGAGAAAAUAGAGGAAAAGAGAAAAUCGAGAAAAAGGAAAUACUGAAAUUGCUCAACAAUUUGGAUAACUGCUUCUGGUGCAAAGGUGUGCUUAAAAAGA
rnacentral:lncRNA from 1 species